UGCAUUCAUUUUCUCUCGCUGUCUCCUGUGAUAUAUUGUCUCGUCGAAUCUGCACCAAUUGGACAAGUUGUGGUCUUCAGGGAGGAGAAAUUAACAGGAACAGUUUGGUGCAAGGGAUGCAUGUCUAUCGUGUGGAACAUCUGCUCAUUGAAGAACUUAAGCCGGUUCUUUUAGCUUCUUGCAGUUCUUGGCCCUCGAGGGGUCUGACAGUGAAAUUCCAGCAAACCUGCACAUUCUGGUGAGAUGAUGACUUCUACCAUAGGUAGUGGCUGUACUUUUGUUGGUUGGGAAAAAGAACUUGUCCGAGUCCAGCACUCUUCUAACAACUGAAGUCUGAUAAAUCUACUUGGUCCAACUGCUAAACUGCUGGUGCUGCUUGCCUGUCUAUGCUCAUGUUCCGUCAUCCUUUAGACUUGUUACAGUAAGAGCUUAUCAAUUGAUCUUGCAGGUCAUCUUUCAUUUCGGUGGAGAAAAUGUCUUACCUAAUCCUGCAUUCACACAUUGUUUUUGGCACGAACAGUUUGCCUCUUUAUAGCAAGCCUCGUUCACCAUACAUUACUUCUUCUACGUGCAAUUGUGGAAGCCUGAUUCAGAUUUUGGCAGAUCAUGAGGAUGAUCAUUCCUGUAAAAUAUAACUGUCAUCGAAUGAGUCAGCAAAGGCUACCGAGAUGCUGAAACUUUUUCUUCAAUGUCUGCAUGAGCCUUUGCGUUGUGGGUCAUCAGGGUCUGUAAAUGGUGGAACAAUAGAUGAACGAUGGGUUGACGACCGGGUUGUGGACAUAGUGGGAGGAUCCUUCAUGUCGGGGGUGUCCUCUCUGGGGUCUAAUCUCUCUCUUCGGAACGAUGAUCUUCAAAAAGAAGAGUUUUCUUGAAGCGGAGAUUAGAAUCCAGAGAUAAUGGUUUUCAAUACUUGUGGUUUGGAUGAUUCUCCCAUGUUGGAAUAUCUCCCAUGUUGCUCUAUGAGCUUCAAGCCAAAACAUUCCGAGUGUGAGAGAAUCCUUCUCAUAUGCCGAAAAAUGGCGCGACUGACCGACCUCUGUACGGUUAUCUCAAGCAUCAUCACAGUAUGUCACAAGUUUAGACGGAGCAGUUAGUUUCAACGGGUCAAUCUAUGUAGGGCUAGCUUCUGGUGCCAAAGGAGGGAAUUUUAUGGAAAGUGACUGUUUUUCUCCUUUACGCAAUCUUCUCCUAUCUCGGAAUUUUUAAGAUCGUGAUGUUGUGAAGUACACCUGAAGUAUACUAGAAUUGGCCCCUCAUGUCCAAGGUAGGCACAAGCUCCCUUGUGUUCCUACAACUGGAGUGAUUGUCCCCUUGCUAUAAUGCUUCUAGAUAUUUCUGGUAAUGCAAAGGUGGUUAUACUGUGUUUGAUGAUAACUAUGUUAGCUGACAAAAUUGUCAA